GACGAACGCUGGCGGCGUGCUUAACACAUGCAAGUCGAACGCUGAAGCCCAGCUUGCUGGGUGGAUGAGUGGCGAACGGGUGAGUAACACGUGAGUAACCUGCCCCCUUCUUUGGGAUAACGCCCGGAAACGGGUGCUAAUACUGGAUAUUCACUGGCCUUCGCAUGGGGGUUGGUGGAAAGGUUUUUUCUGGUGGGGGAUGGGCUCGCGGCCUAUCAGCUUGUUGGUGGGGUGAUGGCCUACCAAGGCUUUGACGGGUAGCCGGCCUGAGAGGGUGACCGGUCACAUUGGGACUGAGAUACGGCCCAGACUCCUACGGGAGGCAGCAGUGGGGAAUAUUGCACAAUGGGCGAAAGCCUGAUGCAGCGACGCCGCAUGAGGGAUGACGGCCUUCGGGUUGUAAACCUCUUUCGCUCAUGGUCAAGCCGCAGCUUUGGGUUGUGGUGAGGGUAGUGGGUAAAGAAGCGCCGGCUAACUACGUGCCAGCAGCCGCGGUAAUACGUAGGGCGCGAGCGUUGUCCGGAAUUAUUGGGCGUAAAGGGCUUGUAGGCGGUUUGUCGCGUCUGCCGUGAAAUCCUCUGGCUUAACUGGGGGCGUGCGGUGGGUACGGGCAGGCUUUAGUGGAUAGGGGAGACUGGAACUCCUGGUGUACGGUGGAAUGCGCAAUAUCAAGAAGAACACCGGUGGCGAAGGCGGGUCUCUGGGGCGUUACUGACGCUGAGGGCGGAAGCGUGGGGAGCGAACAGG
rnacentral:rRNA from 1 species